UAAGCGACUAAGCGUACACGGUGGAUGCCCUGGCAGUCAGAGGCGAUGAAGGACGUGCUAAUCUGCGAUAAGCGUCGGUAAGGUGAUAUGAACCGUUAUAACCGGCGAUUUCCGAAUGGGGAAACCCAGUGUGUUUCGACACACUAUCAUUAACUGAAUCCAUAGGUUAAUGAGGCGAACCGGGGGAACUGAAACAUCUAAGUACCCCGAGGAAAAGAAAUCAACCGAGAUUCCCCCAGUAGCGGCGAGCGAACGGGGAGGAGCCCAGAGCCUGAAUCAGUGUGUGUGUUAGUGGAAGCGUCUGGAAAGGCGCGCGAUACAGGGUGACAGCCCCGUACACAAAAAUGCACAUGCUGUGAGCUCGAUGAGUAGGGCGGGACACGUGGUAUCCUGUCUGAAUAUGGGGGGACCAUCCUCCAAGGCUAAAUACUCCUGACUGACCGAUAGUGAACCAGUACCGUGAGGGAAAGGCGAAAAGAACCCCGGCGAGGGGAGUGAAAAAGAACCUGAAACCGUGUACGUACAAGCAGUGGGACGCACAGAGCAAUCUGUGUGACUGCGUACCUUUUGUAUAAUGGGUCAGCGACUUAUAUUCUGUAGCAAGGUUAACCGAAUAGGGGAGCCGAAGGGAAACCGAGUCUUAACGGGCGUUAAGUUGCAGGGUAUAGACCCGAAACCCGGUGAUCUAGCCAUGGGCAGGUUGAAGGUUGGGUAACACUAACUGGAGGACCGAACCGACUAAUGUUGAAAAAUUAGCGGAUGACUUGUGGCUGGGGGUGAAAGGCCAAUCAAACCGGGAGAUAGCUGGUUCUCCCCGAAAGCUAUUUAGGUAGCGCCUCGUGAAUUCAUCUCCGGGGGUAGAGCACUGUUUCGGCAAGGGGGUCAUCCCGACUUACCAACCCGAUGCAAACUGCGAAUACCGGAGAAUGUUAUCACGGGAGACACACGGCGGGUGCUAACGUCCGUCGUGAAGAGGGAAACAACCCAGACCGCCAGCUAAGGUCCCAAAGUCAUGGUUAAGUGGGAAACGAUGUGGGAAGGCCCAGACAGCCAGGAUGUUGGCUUAGAAGCAGCCAUCAUUUAAAGAAAGCGUAAUAGCUCACUGGUCGAGUCGGCCUGCGCGGAAGAUGUAACGGGGCUAAACCAUGCACCGAAGCUGCGGCAGCGACACUGUGUGUUGUUGGGUAGGGGAGCGUUCUGUAAGCCUGUGAAGGUGUCUGUGAGGAUGCUGGAGGUAUCAGAAGUGCGAAUGCUGACAUAAGUAACGAUAAAGCGGGUGAAAAGCCCGCUCGCCGGAAGACCAAGGGUUCCUGUCCAACGUUAAUCGGGGCAGGGUGAGUCGACCCCUAAGGCGAGGCCGAAAGGCGUAGUCGAUGGGAAACAGGUUAAUAUUCCUGUACUUGGUGUUACUGCGAAGGGGGGACGGAGAAGGCUAUGUUGGCCGGGCGACGGUUGUCCCGGUUUAAGCGUGUAGGCUGGUUUUCCAGGCAAAUCCGGAAAAUCAAGGCUGAGGCGUGAUGACGAGGCACUACGGUGCUGAAGCAACAAAUGCCCUGCUUCCAGGAAAAGCCUCUAAGCAUCAGGUAACAUCAAUCGUACCCCAAACCGACACAGGUGGUCAGGUAGAGAAUACCAAGGCGCUUGAGAGAACUCGGGUGAAGGAACUAGGCAAAAUGGUGCCGUAACUUCGGGAGAAGGCACGCUGAUAUGUAGGUGAAGUCCCUCGCGGAUGGAGCUGAAAUCAGUCGAAGAUACCAGCUGGCUGCAACUGUUUAUUAAAAACACAGCACUGUGCAAACACGAAAGUGGACGUAUACGGUGUGACGCCUGCCCGGUGCCGGAAGGUUAAUUGAUGGGGUCAGCGCAAGCGAAGCUCUUGAUCGAAGCCCCGGUAAACGGCGGCCGUAACUAUAACGGUCCUAAGGUAGCGAAAUUCCUUGUCGGGUAAGUUCCGACCUGCACGAAUGGCGUAAUGAUGGCCAGGCUGUCUCCACCCGAGACUCAGUGAAAUUGAACUCGCUGUGAAGAUGCAGUGUACCCGCGGCAAGACGGAAAGACCCCGUGAACCUUUUACUAUAGCUUGACACUGAACAUUGAGCCUUGAUGUGUAGGAUAGGUGGGAGGCUUUGAAGUGUGGACGCCAGUCUGCAUGGAGCCGACCUUGAAAUACCACCCUUUAAUGUUUGAUGUUCUAACGUGGACCCGUGAUCCGGGUUGCGGACAGUGUCUGGUGGGUAGUUUGACUGGGGCGGUCUCCUCCUAAAGAGUAACGGAGGAGCACGAAGGUUGGCUAAUCCUGGUCGGACAUCAGGAGGUUAGUGCAAUGGCAUAAGCCAGCUUGACUGCGAGCGUGACGGCGCGAGCAGGUGCGAAAGCAGGUCAUAGUGAUCCGGUGGUUCUGAAUGGAAGGGCCAUCGCUCAACGGAUAAAAGGUACUCCGGGGAUAACAGGCUGAUACCGCCCAAGAGUUCAUAUCGACGGCGGUGUUUGGCACCUCGAUGUCGGCUCAUCACAUCCUGGGGCUGAAGUAGGUCCCAAGGGUAUGGCUGUUCGCCAUUUAAAGUGGUACGCGAGCUGGGUUUAGAACGUCGUGAGACAGUUCGGUCCCUAUCUGCCGUGGGCGCUGGAGAACUGAGGGGGGCUGCUCCUAGUACGAGAGGACCGGAGUGGACGCAUCACUGGUGUUCGGGUUGUCAUGCCAAUGGCACUGCCCGGUAGCUAAAUGCGGAAGAGAUAAGUGCUGAAAGCAUCUAAGCACGAAACUUGCCCCGAGAUGAGUUCUCCCUGACCCUUUAAGGGUCCUGAAGGAACGUUGAAGACGACGACGUUGAUAGGCCGGGUGUGUAAGCGCAGCGAUGCGUUGAGCUAACCGGUACUAAUGAACCGUGAGGCUUAACCU
rnacentral:rRNA from 1 species